rnacentral:rRNA from 1 species
UACAGAGGGGGCAAGCGUUGUUCGGAAUUACUGGGCGUAAAGGGCGCGUAGGCGGCCUUCUAAGUCGAACGUGAAAUCCCCGGGCUCAACCCGGGAACUGCGUCCGAUACUGGAAGGCUUGAAUCCGGGAGAGGGAUGCGGAAUUCCAGGUGUAGCGGUGAAAUGCGUAGAUAUCUGGAGGAACACCGGUGGCGAAGGCGGCAUCCUGGACCGGUAUUGGCGCUGAGGCGCGAAAGCCAGGGGAGCAAACGGG